ACGUAGGAAGCGAGCGUUAUCCGGAUUUACUGGGCGUAAAGUGGACGUAGGCGGCAUUUCAAGUCGGAUGUGAAAUCUCUUGGCUUAACCAGGAGGGGUCAUCCGAUACUGUUGGUCUCGAGGAUAGCAGAGGAAGGUGGAAUUCCCGGUGUAGUGGUUAAAUGCGUAGAUAUCGGGAGGAACACCAGUGGCGAAGGCGGCCUACCAGGCUAUUUCUGACGCUGAGGCUCGAAAGUGAGGGUAGCAAACAG
rnacentral:rRNA from 1 species